CGUAACUUUUAAUGGUUUCAAUGUUUAUUCUGUUUAAAAAUAAAUAAAAGAAAGAAAUUGGAAACAACGGUAACAGAUGCUUCAUCGUCCUCGUUCUCUCCCAAUCGUUCACGCCCCUCUUCAUCGCUCUAUCUCAACUCUCUCAAUCGCGCUCUCCAUCCUCUCACGCUCACUCAAACGCGUCCCUUUCUCGCUCCUCACCUCACGAUUCUUCCCUCAAUCGCUCAUCACCUCUCAGUCUCUCUUACUCUAAAAUGCGAGAAUCCAUGGAAUUAAGGAGGAACAAAAGUAAAAGGCUCACCUUCGGUGGUGACGACGGCGACGGUGACGCUUAACUCUUCUCUCUUCGCCUCUUCAAUCCAGGGUUUCGUUGUUGUAUGGUAGAUUAAAACAAGCAUCUCUGCAAAGUCCUUUUGGUGCUCAGAAACGGAUUUCCUCUUUGAUGCUUGUUCUGGAAAAGUGAAUGUUUAGUAAAAGCAUGAGAAACUUCGGUUCUUUUCAUGUGGCCUUGGCUUCAUGUGUGGAGUAUUAUCGUUGCAAACUUAUGGUGGUAUGGUUCUGUAGUAUCGUUGCUUUAGGCCAUUUAGAUUUGACACUGCUGCUUCUAGAUCUUGCUGUGGAUGAUAUUCUUGUUGAGACAUUGGCUCAAACUGUAAAGUUUUGUUUACAUCAGCAGCCUCUUUAUAGUUCUUGGACCUUCCAAGCUUAGUCUUCUUGAACGGGGAAUGUAAGAUGGUGACUUGGCUCCACUUUUAUCCUCAACUUUCACAGGUUUGUCAGCCUUUGAUAUGCUAGAAUUUUCAAUACUAAGUCUUCGAGGUCGUAAUGGAGUUUUUCUAAUGGGGUCCGAGGUUCCUUAGUUCUAUUGAACAUUGGUUUUGAAUUUUCCUUGUUGGCCAACUGAGUUUUAAGGUUCUCAACCUGUGCUUUGAGUUGCAUAACCUCACUGCUUUCUUUAUUUAUCCGGGCUGCCCCAAGUUCUACAGUGGAAACCCUCUGAGCAAACUUAAGAGUACUCACCGUUUCACCAAAGGAAUCAGCUUCGGGACUCACAUGCGCAAACAUCAAAAUUUUAGCAUGUCCUCCUAAGGAAUCCUGCAAAAGAAGUGGGCUGUUGCACGUUGCAUAACAUGUAAUGAUUGCUUGUAAAUGGUACAUCACAAAAUCAUGUUGGAUGAAUGGUUCGAUGAACACUUAUGCUAGAACAGUAAUAGGUUUGUGGAAAUGAACAUGACAUGGACAAUGCUACUUGUAAAUGAAGAAAUCGUUAUGGAAACAAGCUAACUUGCAUUUGGAGGAUAAAACAUGACCCAAGGGGGAUUAGGAUUAGGUUUGGGAUUUGUGUGAAACAUGGUUAUAUCUUGGUUGUGAUUUUGGAUGAAAUUUGGGAAUUGGUUGUAAUGUAGAAGUUAGUUGUAGGUUGGAGGUUCUAUUAGGAAUUGGAAAGUGAUGUUAUGAUAUUGAUUUGUUAUCACGUGUUGUUGAACUCUUCUUUUUUUUUUGGAAUGAAUUAUUGGAAUGCUUGAA